GAUGAACGCUGGCGGCGUGCCUAAUACAUGCAAGUCGAGCGACCGGACGAGAAGCUUGCUUCUCUGCUGUUAGCGGCGGACGGGUGAGUAACACGUGGAUAACCUACCUAUAAGACUGGGAUAACUUCGGGAAACCGGAGCUAAUACCGGCUGAUAUUUUGAACCGCAUGGUUCAAACGUGCAAGACGGUCUUGCUGUCACUUAUAGAUGGAUCCGCGCUGCAUUAGCUAGUUGGUAAGGUAACGGCUUACCAAGGCAACGAUGCAUAGCCGACCUGAGAGGGGGAUCGGCCACACUGGAAAUGAGAAACGGUCCAGACUCCUAAGGGAGGCAGCAGUAGGGAAACUUCCGCAAUGGGCGAAAGACUGAAGGAGCAAAGCCGCGUGAGUGAUGAAGGUCUUCGGAUCGUAAAAAUCUGUUAUUAGGGAAGAACAUAUGUGUAAGUAACUGUGCACAUCUUGACGGUACCUAAACAGAAAGACAAGGCUAAAUACGUG
rnacentral:rRNA from 1 species